rnacentral:rRNA from 1 species
AGCGAACGCUGGCGGCAGGCCUAACACAUGCAAGUCGAGCGCCCGUAGCAAUACGGGAGCGGCAGACGGGAUAGUAACACGUGGGAACGUACCCUUCAGUUCGGAACAACCCAGGGAAACUUGGGCUAAUACCGAAUACGUCCGUAAGGAGAAAGAUUUAUCGCUGAAGGAUCGGCCCGCGUCUGAUUAGCUAGUUGGUGGGGUAAUGGCCCACCAAGGCGACGAUCAGUAGCUGGUCNGAGAGGAUGAUCAGCAUCACUGGGACUGAGACACGGCCCAGACUCCUACGGGAGGCAGCA